UACGUAGGGUGCAAGCGUUGCCCGGAUUCAUUGGGCGUAAAGCGCGCGCAGGCGGCCUUCCAAGUCCCGCGUGAAAUCGCCCGGCUCAACCGGGCGGGGUCGCGGGAGACUGGGGGGCUCGAGCGAGGGAGGGGGCAGUGGAAUUCCCGGUGUGAGUGGUGGAAUGCGUAGAUAUCGGGAGGAACACCGGUGGCGAAGGCGGUUCUCUGGGCCUGUACUGACGCUGAGGAGCGAAAGCGUGGGGAGCGAACAGG
rnacentral:rRNA from 1 species